GGUCCCGUAGCUCAGCAGGAUAGAGCGACGGAUUCCUAAUCCGUAGGUCACAGGUUCGAAUCCUGUCGGGAUCACCA
rnacentral:tRNA from 2 species